GCCGGGCGCAGUGACGCCUGCCUGUAGUCCCAGCUACUCGGGAGGCUGAGGCUGGAGGAUCGCUUGAAUCCAGUUCUGGUCUGUAGUGAGCUAUGCCGAUCGGGUGUCCACACUAAGUUCAACAUCAAUAUGGUGACUUCCUGGGAGCAGGGGACCACCAGGUUGCCUAAGGAGGGGUGAACUGGCCCAGGUCAGAAAUGGAGCAGGUCAAAACUCCCAUUAUGAUCAGUAGUGGGAUUGUGCCUGUGAAUAGCCACUGCACUCCAGCCUGGGCAACAUAGCGAGACCCCAUCUCU
ensembl:misc_RNA Metazoa_SRP Metazoan signal recognition particle RNA